CAGGCUUAACACAUGCAAGUCGAGGGGCAUCAGGAAGAAAGCUUGCUUUCUUUGCUGGCGACCGGCGCACGGGUGAGUAACACGUAUCCAACCUGCCCUUUACUCGGGGAUAGCCUUUCGAAAGAAAGAUUAAUACCCGAUGGCAUAAUGAUUCCGCAUGGUUUCAUUAUUAAAGGAUUCCGGUAAAGGAUGGGGAUGCGUUCCAUUAGGUUGUUGGUGAGGUAACGGCUCACCAAGCCUUCGAUGGAUAGGGGUUCUGAGAGGAAGGUCCCCCACAUUGGAACUGAGACACGGUCCAAACUCCUACGGGAGGCAGCAGUGAGGAAUAUUGGUCAAUGGGCGCUAGCCUGAACCAGCCAAGUAGCGUGAAGGAUGAAGGCUCUAUGGGUCGUAAACUUCUUUUAUAUAAGAAUAAAGUGCAGUAUGUAUACUGUUUUGUAUGUAUUAUAUGAAUAAGGAUCGGCUAACUCCGUGCCAGCAGCCGCGGUAAUACGGAGGAUCCGAGCGUUAUCCGGAUUUAUUGGGUUUAAAGGGAGCGUAGGUGGACUGGUAAGUCAGUUGUGAAAGUUUGCGGCUCAACCGUAAAAUUGCAGUUGAUACUGUCAGUCUUGAGUACAGUAGAGGUGGGCGGAAUUCGUGGUGUAGCGGUGAAGUGCUUAGAUAUCACGAAGAACUCCGAUUGCGAAGGCAGCUCACUGGACUGCAACUGACACUGAUGCUCGAAAGUGUGGGUAUCAAACAGGAUUAGAUACCCUGGUAGUCCACACAGUAAACGAUGAAUACUCGCUGUUUGCGAUAUACAGUAAGCGGCCAAGCGAAAGCAUUAAGUAUUCCACCUGGGGAGUACGCCGGCAACGGUGAAACUCAAAGGAAUUGACGGGGGCCCGCACAAGCGGAGGAACAUGUGGUUUAAUUCGAUGAUACGCGAGGAACCUUACCCGGGCUUAAAUUGCAGUGGAAUGAUGUGGAAACAUGUCAGUGAGCAAUCACCGCUGUGAAGGUGCUGCAUGGUUGUCGUCAGCUCGUGCCGUGAGGUGUCGGCUUAAGUGCCAUAACGAGCGCAACCCUUAUCUUUAGUUACUAACAGGUUAUGCUGAGGACUCUAGAGAGACUGCCGUCGUAAGAUGUGAGGAAGGUGGGGAUGACGUCAAAUCAGCACGGCCCUUACGUCCGGGGCUACACACGUGUUACAAUGGGGGGUACAGAAGGCAGCUAGCGGGUGACCGUAUGCUAAUCCCAAAAGCCUCUCUCAGUUCGGAUCGAAGUCUGCAACCCGACUUCGUGAAGCUGGAUUCGCUAGUAAUCGCGCAUCAGCCACGGCGCGGUGAAUACGUUCCCGGGCCUUGUACACACCGCCCGUCAAGCCAUGGGAGCCGGGGGUACCUGAAGUACGUAACCGCAAGGAUCGUCCUAGGGUAAAACUGGUGACUGGGGC
rnacentral:rRNA from 1 species